CACUGUUCAAUCAAUUCAAGAAAGCAUCCUAAAGUUCAUGUUCUCCGGAGCCUAAAUAUGCCGGAUUUGUACUAUAUGAAUGUAUUUUAAUAAUAAUUAUUUUAGAACUUGGUAUAUCAAUGUCAAUUCAUAAAAAUGAUGUAGAGGCAGUGGCAGAUUGUCGAAGGAGAGUAAUCUUACUUCAGGCUUCUUUGAGCUGUAUUGAAGUGUGUGGAUUAGACAAAUCUCCUUUA